CUGUGUAGGAUAGACCUCUGAACAGUACGCAACGAACGCGAUCGUAAUCCCUUGUUGAGUGGCCAUCCUGUAAGCUGCUGGAUUUGGAACCCAGUGGUAUUAUCUCAGCCACAGAUUUUCUGGUUGUAAUGGGCCAGUUUUGAAACUCGGGGAACAUCUGUGACUUUCUUUCUUAACGCAGAGGAAGGUUAUGGCAAUAACAGGUCUGUGAUGCCCUUAGAUGUCCAGGGCUGCACACGUACUACAUUGAUCAACUCAGUAGGCGUCGUGUUUUCUCCAAUAACGUAUCUAGUGGACUUGGUGUCGGGUGUGUGGCCUCUGGUCAUGUACUUUGAUUACUGUCACUUUAAACACUGGUCGUUAGACUCGUGCAAUCCAAUAGAAGAGGUGACUCAGUAUUCAGUACCGUGUUAAUCUCCCGUGUUCGUAGUGGCCCCGCGCAUUGCCAGUCGUAGUGGGUCCUUUGUGCUUUUUUCAAAUCUUAGUGGGGACAGACAUCUGUUAACUUUUUGUCUCGGUCCCA
rnacentral:rRNA from 1 species